GAACGCGAAGAACCUUACCAAGGCUUGACAUAUACUGGACCGCAUCAGAGAUGGUGUUUCCCUUCGGGACAGAGGUGACAGGUGGUGCAUGGUUGUCGUCAGCUCGUGUCGUGAGAUGUUGGGUUAAGUCCCGCAACGAGCGCAACCCCUAUUGUUAGUUGCCAUCAUUCAGUUGGGCACUCUAGCGAGACUGCCGGUAAUAAACCGGAGGAAGGUGGGGAUGACGUCAAAUCAUCAUGCCCCUUAUGACCUGGGCUACACACGUGCUACAAUGGCUGGUACAACGAGUCGCAAGCCGGUGACGGCAAGCUAAUCUCUUAAAGCCAGUCUCAGUUCGGAUUGUAGGCUGCAACUCGCCUACAUGAAGUCGGAAUCGCUAGUAAUCGCGGAUCAGCACGCCGCGGUGAAUACGUUCCCGGGUCUUGUACACACC
rnacentral:rRNA from 1 species